AACACCUCAAAACUCUUGGUUUUUUCCAUGAGUUUUGGACUUGAGCAAACCCAACGCCUUCUCUCACGAUUUGGCGGCGGGUUGCUUGAAAUGCAGGUGCAGCUGGACAUUCUCCUGAGCUAAAAGCAUAUUUAUUUAGUCCCGUCAAACGGAUUAUUACUUUUGCUGCAGCUAACAUAAAGGGAGUUUUGACCGUAUUGGCUGACUGAUGCAGGAUUUCACAGAGUCGGAAACGAUUCUGUCAAAC
rnacentral:misc_RNA from 1 species